rnacentral:rRNA from 1 species
UACAGAGACUGCGAGCGUUAUUCGGAUUCACUGGGCGUAAAGGGUGCGCAGGCGGCCAUGUGUGUGAGGCGUGAAAGCCCGGGGCUUAACCCCGGAAUUGCACCUCAAACUACAUGGCUAGAGCAUUGGAGAGGGUAGCAGAAUUCAUGGUGUAGCAGUGAAAUGCGUAGAUAUCGAGAGGAACACCUGCGGCGAAGGCGGGUUGCUGGGCUGACACUGACGCUGAGGCGCGAAAGCCAGGGGAGCGAACGGG